AAGGUGAUUAUUGUCUUUGGAACAAGAAGAGAUUUGUUUUGCUCAAACAGGUAAAUGCCAGAUCUCCUGGCCAUGGCAGCAGCACACACAUUGCCAGCAGGUCCUCUAAUCUCUCCCUUUGCGGCCUCCUCAUGUCUGCAGUCCUUUGUAUCGGUGUGCUCCCUGAGGUGAACGAAUAAUGCCACCUGCAGCCCAGCCCAGCCAAACUAACUCUUCUUGAGGCAAACACUACCUUACAUACUGGUCGUGUUCAUCAUCCCUACAUCCUCUCCCAAAUCCCAGUGGAAAAGUGCUAAUUGACUUCUAGCACCAAGGCAGCCACUGUUCCACGGUCGCACCUAACCUCUAGGUUGGCACGAUGUCCAAAUCCUGCAUUUACAGGAUUGCCUCUAGCUAACCUCAGGAGCCUUAUUGCUAAACUACUCGAGGCAUUCCUGGUCGUCUUAAUCUAUCUCCAUGACCGUGUAAUCCCCCCUCUGGAGUGCUCACCCCACACCAGACAUUCCUGUCUGCGUACAGAUGUGCCACAGGGAUUGCAACACAACAGCUGUCUGCCCCUGGUCGUGUCAGUGUUCAGCACUCCUGGUCUCACCGCUCCUGUCUCGGGUCACAAACCAUUUUGAAAUACCUCACAAACCUCUCCUACGCUGUGUCUGCACCAUGGAGAUGUGACGGCACAACCAGCUGCAGAACCGUUCACCUCUGGGCACCACCUGGACGUGGUUGCAAUGGUCAGCAAGGAGUGUGCACAGACACAGGCCUUGUGUUUCCCGUGUAACCCAAAAGCUGAGUGGGAACAGCCACCAUGGCCCACAAUAAACUGCCACGUGAUUUACUGGGGGUUCAAGGAGCUACGAAACCUGUGGGACACACCACUGAAGGACUGUCUUUGGGUGUCUACAUGGCAGAGCAGGACUCUCUGCAUGGACUUCAGCUGGGCCAUUCGCAGGUGGAACUGGCAGGUCUGGAACCCUAUCGGCAUUGCAGAAGAGAAACAGGAGCAGGUGCCUGAUGCCUUGGUGCUGGAGUGCUGCCAAAAUUCUCACCUACAAAGUCAACAGCAGCGAGUUCCUUUCAUAGAUGUGUUUCAUCUUCUGUGUGAUGUGUGGAAGAGUUAUUCGGGGCACACUGAGCCUGUGUGCUGUGUUUGUAUAGCUGAAUCAUGGCUUCUUGCAACAGGGACUUGGAACUGACUUUAAAUUCAGUCCACCCUAUGUGAGCUUAAUUCCACAUUUAUUAUUACGACAUCUGAAUAUGCAACAUCAAGGCAAGAAGCACUCAAAUGUAAGACACGGCAGCAUGUGCUGCACGAGCAGCCACGCUCCUAAGGACUAAGGAGGCAGCAGGAGAAGAUAAAAAGGUGAAUAGGGCAACUAUACAAGCAAACU